rnacentral:lncRNA from 1 species
UUGCUCCAAAAGCAGGGGACAAUUUGUGGAUGUAAGAGACUAUUUCCAAGGGUUCCGUCUUCUAAAUAAGAGAAAACCCAGAUGCCAGACAGCCUCCCGACAGCAGAAGGCGCGUGUCACCAUCGCUAUGUGGACUGAUGCAGUCAAAGCCCUGCAAGAUGACCUGGCAUGUGUCAGGCACAGCAGAGGGAGAGGAACUUCAGAGUUCACACUCCUGGCUCCUGAGAAGACCUUGCGUGUAUGAACUCAGGUCCCAGACGCCUCAGGACUCUCCGGGUAAAUCAGAAAUAACACCACCAACCAACCACACAGAUCAUAAAGGCAACUCAAGAGUUUUGGCUUCUGGAACAAGAAUAAAAGAUCUUCUACCAAAUAUUGAGUUCCUCGGAAAGAAUCCUUUAAGACAAUUUUGUGUUGGUGAAAAGUGUCACAUCAGCAGCCGCAAAGUCUGAGUUUCUGUUUACUCAUCUAGCAGAGUGAAAGGCAGUGUGCAGGAGGGUGAGCAUGGACCCCAGAGCCAGAUCCGAACUCCACCCUUAUCAGCUCUGUGAUCUUUGGCUAUGGAACCUGAAGACAUUCAGGUUGUGUCCUGAGCCAUGUCAUGGAUGGGUGUCAGGCUGUGUCCCGGAUGUCAUGUCACGGAUGGGUGGCUGCAAAUCAGUCAGCCCUUUCUGAAAGCUUUUUUCUGCCCUUGGUGGAGGAAAACGAACAAGAACUUUGGAGGCGUGCAUAUGCGUGUGCACUGAAGGGAGGAUGCUGAGCUAAGAAUACAGAGAAGAAAUGAAAAAAACAAAAAGAACAAAGAUUUAUUUGCUAACUAAGAGGGCAUUCGCAAAUAUUUCUCCCACAUCCCAUCCAGAAAGAUUUCAAGGCCAGGAAAAUAAAAGCACCUGUCGGAUAUCAACUGAUUAAAGCUUCAGGGAAACCAGCAAAUGUCUUCAUUUUCCUAUUCAAGGACUCUUUUUAUAAUCAAACGCAAGAGGAGAAAGUUUUAAAUUUCCACUUUGGAGGAGUCUUGAAAUCCUAUAAACAGAAAUAUAAGCACCAUAAUUUUCUAAAUGUUAAGAGGUAAAGGCUCCCCACACACUAAUUAAUCCAAUUAUGUGUCUGUGACUUCAAACUUAAAAAGGCAAUGACUUCACUUCAAGGGUGAACUAUUUUUGGAUCCUCCAGUCUCCUUCCCGUGAAUAAUACUUUGGUUGAACCAACACAUCUCUCUGAGAGUGACACGAGUCUUCCUGCUUAGACAAGCAGGUCAGCAGUUAACUUCCUUCUAGUGCUUUCCUGAGAAGGCAGGUCCUAACACAUCCUUUCAAGAUGGUAACCCCAGUACCCUAGAACUUCUCCCUAAUUAUUACACUCCGUGAGAUAAAAGAGCUGUGUGUGGACAAUUUCUCCCAAAGAAGCCAAAAGAAAGAGAAAGGUGUGGUUACAAAGUCCCUUAAAAGAAAGACCUAAUGGUCUUUGGGAGUGACCAUUUUCCGUGCUCCCUUUUAAUAUCAAGCCUUAAAGCCAACCACACUGAAAAAAUUUUCAAUCUAUCUUGAGGUGAUUUAAUUCAAUAGUUUGUACCAAGUGACAAAAAGGAAAUAACAGACAUCUCUUCAGAGAAAAAAAAAAGAAGCCAUACUUUUAAAUAUGAAUUUUCCUUUUUACCCCCAUUCUUUGUUAAUGGACUUUAACUUGACUCAAGGCUAGGAAGGGUUUGGCAAGAUCAGUUUCAUCAGUGUGAACAGCUAUCUUGCACUCCUAAAGUGGUUUUUUUCUGAAAUUAAGCAUAGAGUUAAAUCAUCAAAAGUUGUUAGUGUAUAUUUCACAUCAUGUUUUUCCCCAUUUCUCCAAGAAGAAAAAAUCCUUUGUAAUUCUCCCACGUAGAAUAAGUGGCAACGUAUUAUUUGAUUUCAGUAAAUUCAUUAAAAGGGGAAAAUUAAAGAUAAAAAAUACAGAUCAAGUAAUUAAAAUAUUUAGUAACACUCUGAAUAAAAUGAAGGCAAGUUUACAUUUAAGUUUAGAUUUCUUCUUACCUAUACCUGUUGAAGUAAAUCCUCUGAAGCAAAAAAAAAGCACAUGGACUGUGCUAAGCUAUAUUUAUUUUCUGAGUGGGUUUUAGAGAGAAUUGGGAAAAUUCCAUUUGACUGAAUCAUAAAUAGAGCUAACAAAUUAGUCAGAAGUUUCCCAAGUUAAUAAAAAAUUCUGUAAAAAAAUAUUUAAUUUAAUAAAAUUUUUAAGCAUGUAAGACAAAUCCCUGCAAGGGCACUAUUGCAAAAUAUAUGUUGAACUGAAAUAAUAAUCAUAACAAGAUGAUGGGAUGGAAAUGAUCUUUCUUUCCAUGAUAUUAGGCCAGAUCCUGUCAGAUGGUCAACUGAUAUUUUGCAGGCAAAAAGAAGGCACACUCAAGAAUAGGUCCAUCCUCUUGGGCUCCUGGGAGACAGUUGGGAAAUUGCUGUCUCUAUCAUGUGACGGUCAGUAGCCUUGGUAGUUGCCACCCACUUCCCAUGUCUGACCCACCCCAAGGUCAUGUCACCCCAUGUGUGUGAGUAAAAUACUACCAGGUCUUCCCAUUCUCACCAAGCAGCACCCACUCUUCCAUCCCUCUGUUGUUCCCUCAAGUUUCUCUCCUUCCAUCUGAAGGUAAUCUCUCCACUCUGCCCGGAUUUCAUGCUCUCCUAUCUACCUUCUCAAGAAUCUCACAUCAUCUAUCACUCCUUCUUUCCGGAAUUUAAACUUCCUUCUCUUCAGUGGUACCUUCUUGUUAUCAACACUUAAUCAUACUCAGUCUUUUUCACCUCACAAAACCUCCUCCUUCAGCUGCUUCCCUAUCUUCUGCUCCCCUUCACAGCCAGUCUUGGAGAUGAAGUCCUCACUCCGUCGAUUUCUUUUCCUUCCUCCUCCAUCAUUCCCAUCACCACUCUAAUGAAGCUGCUUUUGCCAAGGCCAUCAAUGUUCCCCAUGCCAUUUAAUCCAAUGGACCCUUUUCUGUCUCUGUGUGACCUCUUGGCAUGUUUCAGUCACUGUUUACUUAUAUCCUUGUCAGGGCUCUUCCCUCGGCUUCCUGAUGCCACUAUCUGCUGAGCCCCCAUCACACACUCCUCCUCCUCUCGAAACUCUCUCAGGGCACCAUCCCAGGACCACUGUGCCUUGCAUUCUGUACACUCUCUUUGAUGGUCUCAUCAAUCUCUAUGGCUGCCAUUAUCACCCAACCACUGAUGACCCACACAUGUGUCUCUUAGCAGACCUCCUGAGAUCCAGAUACAUGAUUCAAUUCUCUUUGAAUAACCUGUUGGGAUGGCCUGUAACUCAACAUGUCCAAAGAUGAACCUGGUCAGAGUGAUAUUUUUAAAACACACAUCAGAUGUCACCCCUCUGCACAACACCCUUCAGUGUCUACCCAUCCUGCUCUAAGGAAAUGUCUAAGGCAUUAUAAUGGCCCACAAGACCCUACUCAAUCUGUCUCCAUCCUUCUACUUCUAUGACCUUAUCUCCUACUAGUCUCCACCUUACUCAGACCACUCUAGCCAUGCUAGCCAGACAUGCUCCCAUCACAGAGCCUUUGCACUUGCUUUUCCUCUGUCUGUUCUCCCUCCAGAUAUAAGCACUUGUUUGCUCACAUUUUUGAAGACUCUGUUCAACUAUCGCCUCUUGGUAAGGCUAUCUCUGAAAAUCCUAUAUAAAAUUGCAACCCACGCCUCGACCUAACAUUCCUUAUCCUCUCCUACUAAUGUCUUUGUCUUUAUAACACUUGUAAAUAUCUGACAUAUCAUAUACUUUGUUUAUUUAUUGUCAAUUGCUCUCCACUAGAUUAUAGGCUACAUCAUGGCAGGAGUUUUGGUCCCUUUUGUUCAUUGUAUUCCUAAAGCCUCGAACAGGGCCUGACACAUAGGAUACAGUCAAUAAUUAACUGUGGAAUAAAUAAAUGAAUGAAUAUUCACCCCCUCACUCCCCCAACCUGCUAUUCAUCAUUUCAGUAAAUGGCAUUCCCAUCUACCCAGCUGCCCAAUGCAGAAACUGAGGGCCAGCUAGGACUCAGCUCACACUGCCAUUAACCCCUCACUCAGCCCUCUGGCUAGCUGCUGAAAGUUGUCUCCCUCUCCUACCUCCUGUCACAUAGUUAUUUCCUACUCUUCCCUCAGGUUCCAGCCUAAACAUCAUUUUUACAGACCAUGUCUGUUAUAUUUCCCUUUAAAUACCCAACUAGGCCUAAUACAUGUCUGGCCCAUACUAAGUGUUCAUCAAAUAUUUGUUGAAUGAAUAAAUGGCAUUUCUCAGAAAUGCCAGAUUAGGUUCCCCUGUUCUCUGUUGUUAUGGCACCCUGUAAAUUUCAUAUAACACUCAUCUCACUUUACGAUAAUUACUUUGUUUAAUGUCUUUCUUCUCUACCAGAUUAUAAGCUCUCUGAAAAUGGAGAUCUGCACGAAGCACCCUUUGGUUCCUGGUGAAUGAAUGAAUGAUGUAGGAUGAGGAGAAAACAGAAACAAGCUCUUCUACCCACUUCCAUUUCCAGCACGAGCUACUAUAGAUAACAAAUCACAGCUUUGACUGUUCCUGAAUUCCAGAAAUACAUCAUCAAAGGAGUGCACAUGGACAUCGAGAACCCCGACUCUGCAUUUUAUUAUAAUUUUUGUGAAUAUUAGUCAUAAAUUUACCAGUCAGUUUGAUUCAACCCUCAAAUUGAUUAAAUAACUAUGAAGCAUACAUAAUCACAUAAAACCAAGAUCAUCAAUAGCUAGAAUUUAUCCCAAUAGAUGAGGAACAAAUUUCUAAGAAGAUUCAAAGUCUGGAUGCUACGUCACUAUGGUGACAAGACAGUACUGCAAUCAAAUGUGAUAGAAGCUCUCACACUGACCAAGCUACUCGAUCUUCUAAGGCAAAACCCCAGUAAAUUAUUAUUUAUAGGCAUUCCCAUCAUAAUUAUUCUUUUAACUUUUAAAAUUAAAUUACGUUAUUACCUUAUAGCUUUGAAGACACAUACAUGUUGCCACUAGUAUCUAUUAUGGUCAUCGCUUCAUUAGAAAGUGACCCAGUCAACAUUUGGUUCUAACCUAUUUAACUGCCUCAUCUAUUUAGUUGCCCCAUUAGGGGCUUUUAGUCCAUUACAAGAAUUAUUUAAACUAUCACUGAUUUUGGCUCAAGGAGGAACAAAAUAAGAAAUAUAAUUUAUUGUUUUGAUAGAUUCAAAAGAGUUUUGAUGUUCUAACAGGCUCAAGUUAAGACAGCAGCCAUGAGCUAAAGAAAUAAGCCAUUCAGACAUAAACAGAAGAAUAUGAGUAAUUAUCUCUGUACCUCCUAUUCUCUCAGCCUCUUGCCCUUCCCCUUGGUUGGAUAACUCUUCCUUACCCAUCAAGACUCAGGUUAAAGGCGCUUCGUCCUGAAUUAGGUCCCCUUGCUUUGUGCUCCCUCUACUCUCCCUGUCAUAACACUCAUCAUGCUUGGUUGUAAUUACAUUUUUAAUGUCCAAUCUUGCCGCUAGAUUGUAAGAUCCCUGAGGACAGGGUUCAUGCUUGUCUUUUUACCACUCUGUACCUAACACCCAGCACAGUGCCUGACCCACAGGAGGUGUGCAAUACAUGUUUGCUAAAUUGAAAUGAAAUUGAAGUUUAUUUGAUCACUACCAAUGAUUUGUAGUUGGACCGUAGUGAAACCUGUUAGUUUUACCUCCUACUAUGUGUAGGAAAUUCAUACCUAUAGGCAAAGAAUCACCUACAAAGACUUUCAGAACAGCAUUAUAAUAGAUAAGAAUAGGAGAAUGGAUAAAUAAAUUAUUCUAGGUAUAGUCAUACAAGAGGACAUUUCAAAGUCUAGAUAAAGUUAUAUUUCUGAAGUGUUUUUAUUUAAAUGACAUGGGGA